UACGGGGGGGGCAAGCGUCGUUCGGAUUUACUGGGCGUAAAGGGCGCGUAGGCGGCGCAACAAGUCACUUGUGAAAUCUCCGGGCUUAACCCGGAGCGGUCAAGUGAUACUGUCGUGCUAGAGUGCGGAAGGGGCUACUGGAAUUCUCGGUGUAGCGGUGAAAUGCGUAGAUAUCGAGAGGAACACCUGCGGCGAAGGCGGGUAGCUGGGCCGACACUGACGCUGAUGCGCGAAAGCCAGGGGAGCGAACGGG
rnacentral:rRNA from 1 species